AAUAGAUACCCGGGUAGUCCACGCUGUAAACGAUGAGUGCUAAGUGUUAGAGGGUUUCCGCCCUUUAGUGCUGCAGCUAACGCAUUAAGCACUCCGCCUGGGGAGUACGACCGCAAGGUUGAAACUCAAAGGAAUUGACGGGGGCCCGCACAAGCGGUGGAGCAUGUGGUUUAAUUCGAAGCAACGCGAAGAACCUUACCAGGUCUUGACAUCCUCUGACCUCCCUAGAGAUAGGGCCUUCCCCUUCGGGGGACAGAGUGACAGGUGGUGCAUGGUUGUCGUCAGCUCGUGUCGUGAGAUGUUGGGUUAAGUCCCGCAACGAGCGCAACCCUUGACCUUAGUUGCCAGCAUUCAGUUGGGCACUCUAAGGUGACUGCCGGUGACAAACCGGAGGAAGGUGGGGAUGACGUCAAAUCAUCAUGCCCCUUAUGACCUGGGCUACACACGUGCUACAAUGGAUGGUACAAAGGGCUGCGAGACCGCGAGGUUAAGCCAAUCCCAUAAAACCAUUCUCAGUUCGGAUUGCAGGCUG
rnacentral:rRNA from 1 species